UAUGAAUAAUACGUGGCACACGGCUCAGUAACACGUAGUCAACAUGCCCAGAGGACGUGGAUAACCUCGGGAAACUGAGGAUAAACCGCGAUAGGCCAUAAUUACUGGAAUGGGUUAUGGCUUAAACCUAUAUGGCCUCUGGAUUGGACUGCGGCCGAUCAGGCAGUUGGUGAGGUAAUGGCCCACCAAACCUGUUACCGGUACGGGCUCUGAGAGGAGGAGCCCGGAGAUGGGCACUGAGACAAGGGCCCAGGCCCUAUGGGGCGCAGCAGGCGCGAAACCUCUGCAAUAGGCGAAAGCCUGACAGGGUUACUCUGAGUGAUUCCCGCUAAGGGGAUCUUUUGGCACCUCUAAAAAUGGUGCAGAAUAAGGGGUGGGCAAGUCUGGUGUCAGCCGCCGCGGUAAUACCAGCACCCCGAGUGGUCGGGACGAUUAUUGGGCCUAAAGCAUCCGUAGCCGGUCAUGCAAGUCCUCCGUUAAAUCCACCUGCUCAACAGAUGGGCUGCGGAGGAUACUACAAGGCUAGGAGGCGGAAGAGGCAAGCGGUACUCAGUGGGUAGGGGUAAAAUCCUCUGAUCCAUUGAAGACCACCAGUGGCGAAGGCGGCUUGCCAAUACGCGCUCGACGGUGAGGGAUGAAAGCUGGGGGAGCAAACCGGAUUAGAUACCCGGGUAGUCCCAGCUGUAA
rnacentral:rRNA from 1 species